AUUGAACGCUGGCGGCAUGCCUUACACAUGCAAGUCGAACGGUAACGGGCCUUCGGGUGCCGACGAGUGGCGAACGGGUGAGUAAUGUAUCGGAACGUACCUUUCAGUGGGGGAUAACGUAGCGAAAGUUACGCUAAUACCGCAUAUUCUGUGAGCAGGAAAGCAGGGGAUCGCAAGACCUUGCGCUGAUUGAGCGGCCGAUAUCAGAUUAGCUAGUUGGUGAGGUAAAGGCUCACCAAGGGGACGAUCUGUAGCGGGUCUGAGAGGAUGAUCCGCCACACUGGAACUGAGACACGGUCCAGACUCCUACGGGAGGCAGCAGUGGGGAAUUUUGGACAAUGGGGGCAACACUGAUCCAGCCAUGCCGCGUGAGUGAAGAAGGCCUUCGGGUUGUAAAGCUCUUUCGGCCGGGAAGAAAUCGCACGGGCUAAUACCCUGUGUGGAUGACGGUACCGGAAUAAGAAGCACCGGCUAACUACGUGCCAGCCGCCGCAGUAAUAC
rnacentral:rRNA from 1 species